rnacentral:lncRNA from 1 species
AGAGCAAACACGUUGGGGGAUAUGACCAUUUGGAUAUCUAUUCCAGUCGAUUCUAAUUCCAAUUUCGCUCGCCAAUCAAGCAUGCCCUUAAAGUUUUUGCAUAUUAAUUGUAGAAAAUUUUAGUGAUCGGGAUGAAUUCUUUGAUUAGCUACAAAGAGGGUAUAUUCUAAUGAUUGCAAUUGUCUUCCUCCGAGGGUGUCUUUCCUGGAUCAUAUAAUCGUUAAGACAUUACCACCAGGCGAAGAACCAAGGGUUGGUUAUGUUUUGGCACAUGAAUCAUGACUCUAGUAUGAUAUCAUGUAUUCUGAAAUUUCUGAUUGGAUUCUUGCAUCACUAUAGUUAGCCAAUUAGUAAUGAUAUAACUUUACUCCGGUCGAAGUAUCAAGAUUUACCAUCGCUUACCA